CAGUUUCACUUUGUCAGGGCCCAUGGCAACACUGGGUCAUGCAGGUGACCCAGGACGAGCUCCCUGUUGUAAAGCCAGCUGGUUAGCAACUCACUUCACCCACAGCCUUCAUUCCCCAUGGACCAAGCGACGUAGCAGAUUCUCGGUGUCCAAGAUAAGGACCCUAGCAUCAUCUGCCUAGCGUCUUCUGUCGGCUGCCAGUUUGUUCCUGUGGUUCCUAUCAGACCGAACCUCCGAACAUGAGCCAAGGUGGGAAGCGACAGAGAGAUCAGCCAACACUUUUGUCACUGGGCCACCCGCGUCAUGUCCCUGAGCAUGCCGAACAGGUCUCCUCUGGCAUAGAGUGUCCAGAGCUGCAGCCUGCGCCCUGUGCCCCGUGGCAGGUUGACUUGUGCCUACACAACCUACACGUGCUCUGUGGCUCUGCCCUGCUGUCUCACACAGCCUGUGACACAAAGCGCCAGUGUGGGUAGCGUGCUUGUUGGACGUGUAAUUGAAUGGAGCCCAGUGCCUUUCGUUCACUCCGCAUCCUGCUCAGGGACCUGUGACCUCCUUCAUUGCGCCUGGCUCUUCAGAGCAGGCUCUAGCCGCAGGCACCGUGGAUACUGUAUGCAUGCGUGUGAGCAUCAAUUACGGGCUUCGUUGACCCGGAACCCAAAGUGGAAGUCUGUGCAGGAAGUGACCAUGGCCUGGGCUGGAAAGGCCAGGCUAGGGAGCUGAACCAUGGGGCCUCUGGCCUGCCCUCGCAGCUGCCCCAGCUGCUUCCUUCCCAGUCUCUGCCCCCCACCCCCAGCCCCCGUGCAUUCGAGAUUCCCGGGAGGUCGAGCCUGGUGUAAUUACAGGGUAUCUGCUGCCUCCCUAUAAAUCUAAUAGACUUUUUGGCCUUGUCAGAUUAAAACUUACCUAUCAACCCGCCGCAGUCCUCUAGAUCUCCCUAAAUCUGUACUUGGGAGAGAAUUUAUGGCCAGGAAUUGCAUUUUGCAAAAUGAUUAAAGUUGCCAAACAGCCAUAAAAAGUUGCAGGAGGAGAUACGGUUUUUUUGAAAGUCUGCUUAAUUUAUAAGGGGUGGAAGGUUUAUUGUCAUUUAGAGUCCACAGCCAGGCAGCGAUGGAGCGUUUGGCGGCAGCUGUGCACAUCUGCUUCUGCUUUAUGCCUUUUACAUGUUUUUAAAUUGCCCUGUUUGAAUCUGCAGCCGCCAAAGCAUCCCGGUCUGCAGAAGGGUGGUUAACUCCUGCCCUCUGACGCUGGCCUCCCGUGCCCUAUUCCUCAGACGACCCGACUUGCCUCCCAGAAGUGUUCCUGGGUGAUCCCGUCUCAUGACGACUGCUCCAUGCCUUCCUGUCAUCGGCCAGCCCCACCAGCAGAGCCCUCACGUGUGCAAAGCUUUCAAGUCUAUAGGCGGGUUUCACGUGCCACGUCUUAACACUUGUCUCCCUGGAUUAAAUGAUUAAACGAGAUCAAACACUCAAGGCUCUAAACGCCCGGUGUUACCUCUUGAGCUGAUAAAUAGAAUUAGGGCUCCCGUUUAUUGACCGCAUGCGAGAUGUCAGACCUCUGCUCCUCGCUCCUACCACAUUACUUCACAGACUCUUGGCUGCCGCUGUGGGAGACAGCUGUCAGUUGUACCUGGGUUUUGGGAAGUGUGAAGAACUUAAAGCCAAGGUCGUGAAGUCAACACUCAAGCACAUUAGCUAACUAUUGGCAAUGUCACUAGGGCAAGCAUCUCACUGGUCUGUCUCCCGGGCUGGCACAGAGCAGACCCUGGGUGGAUCCUGUUGAGGGUGAGCCUGCAUGAACUGAGCUGUCCCAGUUGCUGUCUCUUAUCCCCGCCCCGCCUCCCCUUCUCCUUACAGGCAUCAGACCCUGGAUCAUCAGAAGUCUAACUUAGCGCUCAGUCUGGUGUCUGACGUAUUAUAGUUCUUGAUUCGCUGGAAAGAGGACUGAAUACAUUCAAUCCCAACGGUCCUCUGAGGACGGUUUUAGGAACUCCAUCGUGCGGGAGGGAGGGGCCUGAGGGUGUGUGACACCUGUUCAAAUACAGCGUCAGAGCCAGGAUUUGGAUUCGUUUUUUGUUUCUUUGUUUUGUUUUCUCACCAGCGCCCGCCCACCUAACCACCUGGCAGACGUUUGGGGGGUUGGGGGGAGAUUCGGAAGUGUUUCUUCUUCACCACCAUCCUGUCUAGUAUCUAUUAAAUAUCCAUCACUCACCAGCUGCAGACAUUCUCCAGAAAGCCCCAGAACACCCUCCCAGAGGUGUCUGCUAUUCCUCCCAUUUUACAGAUGUGAAAGCAGGUUGAAGGAGGCUGCCUAGUGACUGAUCUGAUUCCUGAGCCUCCUGCCAGCGCCAUGGAGUGAAGAGAAGUUUGGCCCUGGGAUGAUGAGAUGGACCCACUUGGAUGUUCUCCGGCCCCACUCCCACCCCGCAUCCUUGUCCCUUCAUCCUUGCUGUACAGUGGUCUGCCUUCGUGCUCACAGCCAGGCUCAGCAGGGAGAGUAGCCUCGUCCUUGGAUUUCCCUGCUUCCCAGACACUGCAGACACCCAAAGCCUGCUCUAGGCUCG